UAAUUGCGAUAAGUCAUGUGAAUUGUAGGUUUAUGGGAAUCAUCGAAAUUUUGAACGCAAAUUGUACUGUAAAGUCUAAUAGCUUUACGGUGUCUCUGUUCGAGCGCAAAAUAACAAUACCAAUUGCUAAAUGAUUAGCUGACUAAUUACCCAAGUUUUUAGUUAGUCUAGUUGUUUUUGUAAUUACACUGAGGUCCCAAUAUCUAAGAUAUUGGUUCCUUUAAAAAAGCUUAAGCUUCUAUAUCUAAAUGAUAGAGAAUGUUAUUGAUUAAGGCUUUAUAAAUGCAUAAUACCUCUAAGAGGUUUAAUAACUUAUAAGAUCUUCUUCUCUAAUCAAAUCUAUCUAUAAAAUCUUUGCAUCGAAUCAGGGAAGGCUACCCCCUGAAUUUAA
rnacentral:misc_RNA from 1 species